AACCUCAGAUUGGAAGGAAUUCCUUCCAAUCAAUGAGGUUUAUAACAACCUCAGAUUGGAAGGAAUUCCUUCCAAUCAAUGAGGUU
rnacentral:miRNA from 1 species